rnacentral:rRNA from 1 species
UACGGAGGGUGCAAGCGUUGCUCGGAAUUAUUGGGCGUAAAGGGCACGUAGGUGGUCUUAUUUGUCCGGGGUGAAAUCCUUGAGCUUAACUCAAGAAGUGCCCCGGAGACGGUGAGACUAGAGUUUUGGAGAGGGUCGUGGAAUUCCCGGUGUAGCGGUGAAAUGCGUAGAUAUCAGGAGGAACACCAGCGGUGUAGACGGCUUUCUGGACCAUUGCUGACGCUGAGACACGAAAGCGUGGGUAGCAAACAGG